AAAGCCUACGGGACGCAGCAGUGGGGAAUAUUGCACAAUGGGGGAAACCCUGAUGCAGCGACGCCGCGUGAGUGAAGAAGUAUUUCGGUAUGUAAAGCCCUAUCAGCAGGGAAGAAACAGGACAGUACCUGACUAAGAAGCCCCGGCUAACUACGUGCCAGCAGCCGCGGUAAUACGUAGGGGGCAAGCGUUAUCCGGAUUCACUGGGCGUAAAGGGAGCGCAGGCGGCAUGGCAAGUCUGAUGUGAAAACCCGGGGCUCAACUCCGGGAGUGCAUUUGAAACUGUCCAGCU
rnacentral:rRNA from 1 species